rnacentral:rRNA from 1 species
CCCUUAGAUGUUCUGGGCUGCACGCGCGCUACACUGAUGAGACCACCUGUACCGAAAGGCAUGGGUAAACUUGUGAAAGUUCAUCGUGAUGGGGAUAGAUUAUUGCAAUUAUUAAUCUUCAACGAGGAAUUCCUAGUAAGCGCGAGUCAUCAGCUCGCGUUGAUUACGUCCCUGCCCUUUGUACACACCGCCCGUCGCUCCUACCGAUUGAAUGGUCCGGUGAAAUCUUCGGAUUGCUGGAUAGGACUUCAUUGACCUAUCUGCGAGAAGUUGCUUGAACCUUAUCAUUUAGAGGAAGGAGAANUCGUANCA